CAUCUCCGUCAGCUCCCUAAGCGAUGGCAUUUUUGUUCUGCAUUUGCCCUAUGAGGAGAAGAAGCAGAAGGGUGAUGUGGUCCUGCAGACUGAACAUGAUGCAGACACCACUGCAGAAUGACACAUGGGAACGCCUUCAUAAACCAACCAGAUCCAUGGAGGAGAUCAAUGAAGGAAACACGAGCUGGAAUCCGAGAAGUGAAGGAACACGGGGUUUAUUCAGGAUCGUACACAGGAAAACAUGCGAUGACUUUACAGUGAGCGGACUGGGGAAACAAACUUAAACGCAGACUUUGUCAUGGAUCCGGGCGGGUUCUGAGCGGGAACGAGGCAUCAUGCAGGCGGGGAACAGAAAUGGUGGACGACCCACUUGCGGCUCACAGCAA